UGUUCUGUGGCUCGGUUGUUUAGUGCGCCGGACUUGUGAUGCGGAGUCGUGGGUUCGAAUCCCACGAAAACAA
rnacentral:tRNA from 1 species